GACGAACGCUGGCGGCGUGCUUAACGCAUGCAAGUCGAACGGAAAGGCCCUGCUUUUGUGGGGUGCUCGAGUGGCGAACGGGUGAGUAACCCGUGAGUAACCUGCCCUUGACUUUGGGAUAACUUCAGGAAACUGGGGCUAAUACCGGAUAGGAGCUCCUGCUGCAUGGUGGGGGUUGGAAAGUUUCGGCGGUUGGGGAUGGACUCGCGGCUUAUCAGCUUGUUGGUGGGGUAGUGGCUUACCAAGGCUUUGACGGGUAGCCGGCCUGAGAGGGUGACCGGCCACAUUGGGACUGAGAUACGGCCCAGACUCCUACGGGAGGCAGCAGUGGGGAAUAUUGCACAAUGGGCGGAAGCCUGAUGCAGCAACGCCGCGUGCGGGAUGACGGCCUUCGGGUUGUAAACCGCUUUCGCCUGUGACGAAGCGUGAGUGACGGUAAUGGGUAAAGAAGCACCGGCUAACUACGUG
rnacentral:rRNA from 1 species